rnacentral:rRNA from 1 species
GACGAACGCUGGCGGCGUGCCUAAUACAUGCAAGUCGAGCGAAUCGAUGGGAGCUUGCUCCCUGAGAUUAGCGGCGGACGGGUGAGUAACACGUGGGUAACCUGCCUGUAAGACUGGGAUAACUUCGGGAAACCGGAGCUAAUACCGGAUAAUUUCUUUUCCCGCAUGAGGAGAGAUGGAAAGUUGGUUCUGCUAUCACUUACAGAUGGACCAGCGGCGCAGUAGCUAGUUGGUGAGGUAACGGCUCACCAAGGCGACGAUGCGGAGCCGACCUGAGAGGGUGAUCGGCCACACUGGGACUGAGAAACGGCCCAGACUCCUACGGGAGGCAGGAGUAGGGAAUCUUCCGCAAUGGACGAAAGUCUGGCGGAGCAACGCCGCGUGAGCGAAGAAGGCCUUCGGGUCGUAAAGCUCUGUUGUUAGGGAAGAACAAGUACGAGAGUAACUGCUCGUACCUUGACGGUACCUAACCAGAAAGCCACGGCUAACUACGUGCCAGCAGCCGCCGCCGUAA